GCCAUUUGAAGUUCUUGUUCGGAAGCAGAUCGAACGUUUGCAAGAUCCAAGUCUUCAAUGUGCGGGAUUUUGUUUAUGAUGAGUUAAUAAAGAUAAGUCAUAGUUGUAUGGGCAACGAGCUGCAGCGGCUUCAUGUGCUGAAAAAGCGCAUGGAUAAAGUUAUUGGAGAAUUUCUACGAGACGGACUCGAGCCUUCCGAGAUAGUGAUUAAGCACAUAAUUGACAUGGAGAUGGACUAUAUAAAUACUUCACAUCCAAAUUUUAUUGGUGGGAGUAAGGCUGUACAGGUUGCAUUGCUACAGGUCAAGUCCGCUAGGGUAACUCAUGGCCAGAGAAAAGGAAGGAGCAGAUUUUGAUAAAGUUCCACCAUCUGAAAGAAGUCAGAAAUUGCGAUCUGUUCUGGGUAGAUCCGCAGCAAAUGGAGUUACUGCAGAUCAGGUUGCCGAAGCAAAGCACUGUUGGAGAUG